rnacentral:rRNA from 1 species
UGGGGAAUAUUGCGCAAUGGGCGAAAGCCUGACGCAGCGACGCCGCGUGGGUGAUGAAGGCCUUCGGGUCGUAAAACCCUGUCGGGUGGAACGAAUCUCCGUCUUGCCAAUACCGAGGCGGAUUGACGGUACCACCGAAGGAAGCCCCGGCUAACUACGUGCCAGCAGCCGCGGUAAUACGUAGGGGGCGAGCGUUGUUCGGAUUUACUGGGCGUAAAGAGCGCGUAGGUGGUUCGAUUAGUCGGAGGUGAAAUCCCUCGGCUCAACCGAGGAUCCGCGUCCGAUACUGUCGAACUUGAGUGCAGGAGAGGAGAGCGGAAUUCCCAGUGUAGCGGUGAAAUGCGUAGAUAUUGGGAGGAACACCGGUGGCGAAGGCGGCUCUCUGGACUGCUACUGACACUGAGGCGCGAAAGCUAGGGGAGCAAACGGG